CGUUCACGGCGUAGUGAAGCGGCAACAGCUCAAAUUUGAAAUCUGGCUUCGGCCCGAGUUGUAAUUUGCAGAGGAAGCUUUAGGCGCGGCACCUCCUGAGUCCCCUGGAACGGGGCGCCACAGAGGGUGAGAGCCCCGUAUAGUUGGAUGCCUAGCCUGUGUAAAGCUCCUUCGACGAGUCGAGUAGUUUGGGAAUGCUGCUCAAAAUGGGAGGUAAAUUUCUUCUAAAGCUAAAUACCGGCCAGAGACCGAUAGCGCACAAGUAGAGUGAUCGAAAGAUGAAAAGCACUUUGAAAAGAGGGUUAAAUAGCACGUGAAAUUGUUGAAAGGGAAGCGCUUGUGACCAGACUUGCGCCGGGCUGAUCAUCCGGUGUUCUCACCGGUGCACUCUGCCCGGCUCAGGCCAGCAUCGGUUCUCGCGGGGGGAUAAAGGCCCUGGGAACGUAGCUCCUCCGGGAGUGUUAUAGCCCGGGGCGCAAUGCCCUCGCGGGGACCGAGGUUCGCGCUCU
rnacentral:rRNA from 1 species